GCAAAGCAGCGCGAAACGCCUAAUCCUAAAUAUAUUUCGGCACACCAUUCCUACUACUUUUCUUCUACAAUUCUUAAGCAAACAUCAGAGCAACAGGGAAUCCUUUCCCGUGCUCGGCCAAGCCUGGUGCCUACUACAACAAAAAAUCUGUUCAUUAUCUAUUGAAAUAUUACGGAUCUGGCCUAUUGGAAGAUGCAAGGUUGUUUUUUUCCCCUGUUAAUAUACUAAGUUCCUGUUCUAAUUUCUCAAUACAGUCUUUCACUAGCUGAUUUUCAUUUUCUAAAGUAUCAGCUCUUAUUUCAGUUUAGUUUAAGGCAUUCAGCAGUGGCCAUGCCACUGUAGAGGCAGCUAACUGCCACUCUUUUGUAAUUAAUAUAUCUUCAUCUAAACCUUGAAAAUAUUCCACCAUGCAGAAUGGGGAAAUAUUCCCCAUAACUCACAGAGGACCCCAUUUUUCAAUGAUUGGAAGAUCCCAGAAAUCCUGGAAUCUGCCCAGGAACCAUUUUAUCUAGGAGGGUAGUGUUCUCCCCCUGACCCGUUUAUAAGGGUAAGACAUUAUGGUUUUAGUAUAUAUAUUUGGCCUGCCUGGCUUACCAAGUGUAGGGUCAGUAAGCAUACAGAUUGAAGGCUAGAGAAAUUAUCGUGUUAGAAAGGAAUAAUUAGGGAUGAAUGGAAAGGUUAUGCAUGUCCUGGGCUCACCAAAGACUCCAGAAGGAGCAAUCUCCAGAGAGACAUCCUUCCUCAGUGGAAGUCAGCCCUUAAAUGGGGUCUAAGAGAAGUGGAGCCUGGCUCCACCCCUUCUGAUUAUACAGGUGGAGUUGCCUUCACCUGUGCCCCCAUGGCUGACUCUGUGCUUGCCUCAGGUGGUCAGUCAGAGGUUCAGGCUGUGAUUCAACAGUUCCCAUACAGAAACUAUUUUCAAAAUAAUACUUCAGGUGAAAGCUAAGAGAUUCUCUUCUGCAGAAAGUUGCUGCUUUCUUCCAGAAGCAGCAUUUCAGCUGAGCUUCUUGCUUCACCUGGAAAUACUUGAAAGGAAAAAUUAUCCUUAUACAGUUUGGCUCUGACCCUGAAAAAUAUUAACGUGACAACCAUAACUUCCUGUAUGUGCAACAAUAGGGACUAACAACACCUGUGAUCUAGCUGUUUCCACACAAAGGUGUAACAGCCUGCCUGGCUCUGCAAAUUUGCAGAAUUACUGGCACGACUACCAGAGGGACGGGUCACCUACUGAAGUCUACUUUGCUAUUUCUAUGUAUGUGUUUUUUAGUCCCUCCAUAAGGUAUGUUUGUGUUUCUGCAGAGCAUAUGACUUUACUGCACUAGUAAAAGCAAAUGGAGGAAGGAGAGCUCUGUGUUCCCUUGCAGCUGUGUUUCCCAAAGCUCUGCAGCCUGCUGUUGAGAAAGCCAGCUUGGUUGCUGUUGCCUGUUUAUAAAACUCUCUGACUUGGCCCUCAUCUCUCCUAUCAUGACUGUAUCAAACGUCCCUUUGGUGGCCUGCUAUCUGCUGAGUGAUGCUCGCAUCCCACAGUUCCUGCCUAAGGCACUGACACCCACUGUCAUAACAGAAACAGUGGUCAGCCUGGCGAGUACGUGGAGAUUUCUGAAUUUGGAGCAUCUCCAACACAGUGAAAUGCAAGGCGGAAUGGAGUUUUGCAGUAAAAGUGUGGCAUCUGGUGGUCCAGAGAAGAAAUGGCAGCCCACUCUGAGAAGGCCGAACCAUCUCAUCAGCUUGUAAUAAACUAAUUAUUUCCAGUGUGCAUGUAUGGGAAGAUUCUGGCUUCUGGAUAACCCUGCAGUAUUAAUUGCUGCAUCUUGUUUUGUGUCAUUCCAGCAGAAGGCCUGUAUUUCUUCCCAAAGAGAGAAAUAUUUUCAUUUAUUCAGAACUGUAAUGAGUUUUCAACUUCAGAUGAUGACUCUUGUAACCACCAACAGCAGAUGGGGAAUACCAUUCCCAAAAAGCAGUGCUGGGACAUCUGAAAAUGAAUUAGGAGAAUUUUAGGAUAGCAAAACUCAAGUAUAGUGUGCUAAGAAAGGGGAAUUUCUUCUGUCCUGUGGUGAACCACAUGAAUAUGUCUCCUCACAACUAAAUUCGUGAGAAACCAUUCCUUCUCAACUUGCUUGAAGAGCUGUGAGUUGUCAGAGGUCAUGAAACUCCAUGUGGAGAAGGAGCACAGAAGAAGGGACCUUCAGAAAUCCCAAAGGGUGUCUGAUGCUGAAUUGUGCAUGUAGAGAGCAGAAUGAAUUCUCAAGGUCUGAUUUGUGGAUUCUGAAUUGCAAAGUUCAGCGAUCCUUGCACUUGGCAAGCACCUGGAAUUGAAGCAUGUGCAACCAAGCUCUGUAUGUAAUUCUGUAAAAUGAGAGCUGUUUAUCUCAGCGGCUGAAAUAUUCAUUAUUGAAAAUAAGCAUUUCAGUGUUCAGAGGCGGAAUCGUGGGCUGAGAAUAAAAACGACCUGGGAAAUAGUAAAAAACUCCAUGUCUCUAAACGGCGUAGGGUAUGACCCUGCAGAAGGGCGAUGGGAGAACUCCUUCCGCCUUGGAGCUGCCUUCUGACUCUGUCUCAUCGUUUCAGCUUGGCUGCUAUUGGUGGUGGCAGAAAAAUACCGGAAGAAAUUUACAACAGUUUUGGCUGAAAGAGAGGAGGAUGAUUGAGAAAAGGGAUGAAAUUGGAAAACACCAACCUUUGCAUCUUUUCCAGAAUGUUCUAGUAACUGGCAGGCAAUAUGGGCUUUGUGUUAAAAAAGGAGCCUAUUACCACCUCUACUGAGAAAGCACCUGCCAUUUGGCCACGUUUUAUGCCUGAGAAAUCACCCCACUUCAGUGUAGCAGCGAAAUGCUCUCAGAUUCUUUCCUUGCUUUGCUUUCUUUUUGCACUCAGACUUUGCAGGCUGCAGACAGUAUUCUCAAAGGGCAGUGGAACUGGCUCCCUCAAGCCCAGGCCCCAGUAAAUGAAUUUGGGGUCACUUGGGAACUUGCUUGUCCUGUAUUUCAGUGGCUGUUUCCUGGCACUGAUUCAGCAGGUUAAGAGCCAGUUUGAAAUGCUGAAGGAACAAAAAGCAGAAAAUGGAUAUGGGGGGGAAAUUUAGAUGGGGACAAGCAUAUAGUGGAAGUUUUCCACUUUAGAUUAGAUUAUUAUGAUUAUGAUCAUUAUUAUUAUUAUUAUUAUUUAAGGAUAGAAGGCAAAGUAAAGGCAACAGGAACAAACCAUGAAGGAAAAGCAGAUAUUCAGAGGAAAGGCUGGGGCAAAGGAUAGCGUGUGAGCUGCCUGCCCCUGGCAGUGGUGCUGGGAUUGUUUGAGCUGGUGUGGUAAAAGGAGUCUGUUCUCUUUAAAAUGCUAGCCUCAGAAGCAAAGCCAAACAGCUAUUGUGCCAUCCUCUGCAGUAACAUUUUGAUGUGCAAUCUCCACAUUGAUAUGAUUAGUUGUUAAGUCAAAUAAGAGACAGCGUGACAGAAAUGUUAUUUAACUGAUUUGCCAAACUGAAUAAAGUAUAGUCUGGUCUUGUUUACAGUCAAAAUGGGAAAGUGUUUACCAGGAUAUCCAGGGGUCUCCAACAAGAGAAAAAAACAGAUCCAAAGUAAACACUUUCCAAUGCUGCCUUAGAGAAUGGUUCCCAUCUCUGGUUCUGCUACAACAUUUCUGCUACUGCUGAACAAAGUCCUUAAAUCCGGCUUCUUCCCUAUGGUUGCUUGCUGGGAACAGAACAACCAAUCGAUCAUAGCCACUGCCAAAAUCAGCAGGGAUGUGCUUCAGAGCUACGAUGCAUUACUUAGUACUGCAUACACAAAACGAAUCAGGGCCUUAGUAUCUAAAUUAAAUCCCUCUGUGCCUUAUUUCCCCUUCCACUAAAUGAGGAUAUAACAACCUCACUACACCAUGAACAUGUGAAGAUAAACUAAUCCAGGUUUGUAAAGUCAAAUUUAAGUUGUGUGUACUCACAGCAAGGGGCCAUACUCUGAAAACUGAGGAUAAAAGGAAUGUUAAGCAGAUGCUUUUUAAAUGAGUAUUGUGCAGCCUGUGCAGUCAGAGAAACAGAUGUCUUGUAGAAAUACGGCUCAUAAUCAUGUAACUUCAGUUGUUACUGAGUGUGGGUGGGAGAAGGGAACUACCUUACCCAAGCUCUGAACACUGGAACGUACAUCCCUACAGACAUUACUUUUUAGGCAUGUUUGGGAUAUUGUCUGAGCAUCCUGAAGAUGAGCAGAAAAUAAAUUUUGAUAAAGAACUUACACCUCCUUUCAAAAACUAAUAGCAACACUAUAAAAAUUGCAAACUUUGGCCUCAACACUGACCUUGUAUUCCUGUCUUGUCAGGUCCAG
ensembl:lncRNA